UGUUCAAUAGACACCGGAGAGAUGUUUUUGGAAGUGAGGAUGUCUUUCUAUGUAGAAGAUAGGAUUCUCAUGGAUUAACUAGAAAGCUGAAAUUAAAACCCUUAACAGAAAAUUACAAAUCAGAUGUACACAGUUAAAUUUUUGUCCAAGCGUGAAACAAUGCCAUGUGAGGAAGACAAUCUUUAGUUUUCCACAAACAGCUCUGUUAAGGCCAGCCAUAUUACCAAGAAACCACAGUUCCAAGUGGAGAACAUGCUAGGCUAUCUUAUUCA